ensembl:snRNA U4 U4 spliceosomal RNA
AGCUUUGCACAGUGGCAGUAUCGUAGCCAAUGAGGUUUACCGGGACACGAUUAUUGCUAACUGAAAACUUUUCCUGGCUGGGCGCGGUGGCUCACUCCUGUAAUCCCAGCACUUUGGGAGGCCAA